rnacentral:pre_miRNA from 2 species
GUAACCAAAUUUCAAGUUUCUUACCAGUGUGGAUUUGUAAAACGUUGCGUUUUUAAACUCGUAUUGCAUUUCCAAUCUGGCAAGUUAGCUUGAACAUCACCUGCG